GGGGGCUGCUGCGGCUCGCGUUCCGGGAGUUAGACUGAAGGGCGGGGGCGGGGGCGGGGUCUGGUGGUCGCGCAGGCACCGCCUCUACCCGGCCGCAGCGCGUCUCUAGGCCUGGUCCCCCGAGAUUGGGGUCACCAAAACUCCCGCAGACCUUUUCCCCUGGGGCGACUCGGGGGGCCUGUUACCAGUAGUCACCACCCUGCCUCGACUCCCUCGGUGAAUCAGGUGCUAACCUUGGUCUUCGCGGCUCCUCUGCCUGGGUUUUCUGAGUGCGACAGAUUUAGGCCCCGGUUGGGGGAUUCCUAUGGCCCUGCCCCACCCACGGAGACCGAGAAGGCUCACCCGGUGGGAAAAGGGCCCUAGGGCAGCCCGGAAGUGAAGAUAUAAAGGAAGAUGGCAAGGGAAGCCCCAGCUCUAAAGAAUGAUUGGGCAAGAGCAGCCCUCCUUAGCAAACAUAACAUCCAUCUGCUAAAUGUUCCUUUAGAGUUUUUCUCCAGUGAAAAGCUGUGUGUUGGGUUUCAACUUCAGAUCUGUGCAAAUGACUAACACAAGAACCACAGCUGCAGAGAAGUUCAAGCUGUCAUAGCAUGGGGAACAUUCAGUUCAGAGGAAGUUAAGGUGGCGACACUGAGGCCAGAAAGGUUGGACAGCUUUUCCAAGAUCACAUGACUACACAACUAGUAAGUGGCAGAACAGGGGAUUCCAACUCACAAAACCAGGACCCAGAGCCCAAUCUCUUAACUAUUCGGUGACACCGCCUCUCCACAGGAUGGUCAGAGAACCCCCCUCCUGUUCCUUUUCCUUCUCCAAAACAGCAAUUAUCACUAGAAACAUAAUUCUUUGCACGUUUUCAACAUCUCACCUGAUUCUUAUAGCGAUCAGCAAUAUAUUUUUAAAUUUCCAUUUAUGAGAGAAUAAAGCAGGCUCAAAGAGUCAACCAGCUUAUCGUGGGGAGAGACCCAACGUUCUGAUGUCUCACCGAUGCUUCUUCUUCAUGGAGAAUUCUAAACAGGUUUAAAGUAAGACCAAAGAGACAUGUCUUCUGACACCCAGCCAGCUCCCUUCCCAGCCCUUUACACCAUGAUACUUAUUCCCCACUUUACACACUAGGAGAAGCUUGGAGCAUGAGACAGAAUAACUGGUAGAAGGCAGAAAUUCCUCAGUUUCUACCCUUAUUGCCGCUUUUAACUCAGCAAAGGAAAUGAGAGUUGAUUGAGGUCACACAUUAGAAAUGGGCACAAAACGGAUUAUAAAUGGGUCUCUGCUCAGCAAAAGUUUACAACUAUCUUUCAAAAGGAGAGUGAGUCCCUUUAGUACAAGACCAACAAGAGGUAGAAUAAUCACAUACACGGCAUCUCACACCUAAACUAUUUGAAGCACAUGGCCAUUUAAAACAAAAUCCCCAAAAUAAACCCUAGAGGGAGUAGGUUUCUUAUGCGGGUGCUUUCCUCCAGAUUUACUCAAGGCCCUAAAAAACCACAAGCACAUCAUCACAAAUGAGUAGGAAGCUAGCUUGAAUUACUAGCUGCAUCAUUAUUAAAUAUUCGGUGCCUGUGUAAGCAAAGGUUCAAGAGUUUUCAGGGACAAAACUGCCCAGUGAUGGUAAUGAAUAAGGCAGAGAGAUGGUCUCAUAAAUAUUUAACAUUACUCAGUAUGGGUAAGAGUGAUGACAACAUUGGCAAACUUCUCCACAGCCCUCAGGGGGGUGCCUCCUGCAUCUGCAAGCACAGCGUCAUUAUCAUUCGUUUGGAAUGGGACCUGUGGCUAGGCAGGGACUUCUUCUUCUUCUUGUUAAUGUUUAUUUAUUUAUUUUGAGAGAUGGAGGGUGAGCCGGGAAGGGGCAGAGAGAGAAGGAGAGAGAGAGAUCAGACCAUGGGAUAGAAUGUGGAGCUCGAGCCCAUGAACGGUGAGAUCAUGACCUGAGCAGAAACCAAGAGUCGGUCGCUUAACCGACUGAGUCACCCAGGCGUCCCUGGGAAGUAACUUCUGAGGCUUGGGGUCGGGGGGUGUUGGAGGGAAGACUGGGCAUCAUCCUUCUGCUACUGGGCACGUGGAGCAGGACCUGGGUGUCGCAGCCUGUCUCCAGAAAUCACUCCCCCAGAAAUCAUUUGAACAAGAAGUCCCAUCUCAUCUCAUCUAAGAUGUUGUCCUUGUUCUGAAAGUGGUAAAGUCCAGGAGAUGUGGGUGUCAACAGCCUUUGCUACAAUCAAACUAACUUUACCAGAAGUUCUAGGAACUGAACUGAAGUUCUAGGAACUGGACCAAGAUUAUUUAGAGGUUUAAAAUUCCUGAAGGCUUAAGACAUCCAUUCAUCCAAAAUCAAAAAGAGAAGACAAAGAUGUAUGAAAUAGUUAAAUAGAGUAUAAAGAAAAUAAACAGGACCAGCACAGGAGGCCAGAGAGAAGAUUGGAACCUAGAGAAUUGAAGAGAGUUGCUCAUCUCCUUGCUAUCUCCUCCCACAAGAAGAGCUCCAUGAGAAGAGAUUUAUGUCUGUCUUGUUCUGUGAUGUAUCCCCACUGCCUAGAACAGUGUCUGGUAAUGACAGUGGACAUUCAGUACACAUACAUUAAAAAAAGCACAGAAUUUGAAGGACUCUCUACCUCUUCCCAAAACUUAUUAUGUAAGUCAAACUUUAAGAUUUCCAGUGUGGUAGAGAGAAAGCCCAGAGUAUAUGUGCCUACACUGGCUGCUUGGCCAGGCUGUGGAUGACAGGCCUUAUUCCUCAGGAGGAACUGCAUAUCUGGAUUUGGGAGAUCUCUACCACCUUUCUAGAAGAGAAUACAACAAAACAAAGUCAUCUGCCAUUACGCAUCACAUUUCUUCUUAUUACUUCUUACCACAUGCAACUGCAUCACAGAAACCUCAGCUAAUAUCUAUCACAGAGUGCAGAAGGACAAUGAAAUUUCUGAUAACAUAUGAAUUUUAAUUUCACCGUAAAAUAACUAGGCUAUCUUGUACUUGCUGAUAUUUUGUUCUCACAUGAAAUUCAAUGCAUUAAAAUCUUAAAAAUCAAAUACCAAUUUUAGCUCUGAAUUGCUUUGUGGUUUUGAAAAUAUUCUCUCAGCAUCUAACUAAUCUUCUUAUGAGAAUUAUUCUCCCUCUGAAUCCAAGCUUGAGAUUAAUAAAGCACAAGAAGUUAUACCGAAGGUAUUAAGUAUACAAAAAAUGCCCUUAAUGUGUGGCUUUAGGGGGAAAAAAGGCAAUACUAUAGGCAUCAUAGUCUAUUUCUGGUAUCACAGUAAGUAACAUAGGACAAGCACAUAGAACUCUGUCCCUAAAAAGGUCAAGAAAAUCCAUGUAUCCAGAAUGAAAGAAAACCCAUGUAUCCAGAAUAAUAGAAUAAAAGAAUGAUCAGAGAUAAGCUGAAUCAUGUUGCAGUUAAAAAGGGGACUGGGGAAAUUUUCUCAAUCUCGUUAGUAUGCUCAAGAGGUUUAAAGUAGAAUUAGAAAAAGGAAACAAAGAGGAGAGAGAGGAA